GUUGCAGGGGGAUAAUCGGGAGAAAUCCCGUCUAAUACCGCGUAAUGCCGCGGGGCUGCAUGGCCCUGCGGCCAAAGGAAGCGAUUCCGGCAACGGAUGGGCAUGCGUGACAUUAGCUAGUUGGCGGGGCAACGGCCCACCAAGGCGACGAUGUCUAGGGGUUCUGAGAGGAAGGUCCCCCACACUGGUACUGAGACACGGACCAGACUCCUACGGGAGGCAGCAGUGAGGAAUAUUGGUCAAUGGGCGCGAGCCUGAACCAGCCAAGUCGCGUGAGAGAUGACGGCCCUACGGGUUGUAAACCUCUUUUGUCGGGGAGCAAAUUCCGCCACGCGUGGCGGAGUCGAGAGUACCCGAAGAAAAAGCAUCGGCUAACUCCGUGCCAGCAGCCGCGGUAAUACGGAGGAUGCGAGCGUUAUCCGGAUUUAUUGGGUUUAAAGGGUGCGUAGGCGGACUGUCAAGUCAGCGGUAAAAUACGGGGGCUCAACCUCCGCCCGCCGUUGAAACUGACGGUCUUGAGUGGGCGAGAAGUAUGCGGAAUGCGUGGUGUAGCGGUGAAAUGCAUAGAUAUCACGCAGAACUCCGAUUGCGAAGGCGGCAUACCGGCGCCCAACUGACGCUGAAGCACGAA
rnacentral:rRNA from 1 species